ensembl:lncRNA
CCUCCACUUGUACCAGGGGCGAUAUGUGUGAGCAAUAGCAUAUAGCAGAAAAGACUGCAUGCUGCUUCUAAGAUUUGUUUUGGGUGCUCUUUUGCUUAUUUUACAGCUCUCUUCUUCUCAUAGGGUUUGCUUUGGGAGAAGGCAGCAGCUCUGUAAAAAGGUCCACCUGAAGGCUCUUGUCAACAGUCAAAUGAGUGAUCUUGGAAGUAUAUAGAUUCUCCAUUCCAACUGGAUGACUGCAGCCCUAGCCAACAACCUCAAUGCAACCCCAUAACCUAAAGGAAUAGAGCCAGCUGACCAUGGACUGAAACCUCUGAAGCCAUGAGCCAAAGAUGAACCUGUCUUCAUGAAGUUAUUUUUCUAAGCCAUUGCCUUAGCACUGACCUAUACCUGGACUAUUGCAAUAACAUGUUGAUGCAGAAUACACAAAAGCCAGAGGAGAUAAAGAAGCCAAAAGCCAUUCAGUGGUGUCAGUGUCCAAAAUACGAGAUGCAGCAGUAGUGAGUAAAUUUUUAAGUUCAACAGGGAAUUCAGAGGCAAGGAAAAGAAAUGCAUGCACCGUGGAGAAUCACACUAGCUGCUACACUCAUCAGGAGCAAAAUAUGUGUG